rnacentral:rRNA from 1 species
GAUGAACGCUGGCGGCGUGCUUAACACAUGCAAGUCGAACGGAAAGGCUCUUGCUUGCAGGGGUACUCGAGUGGCGAACGGGUGAGUAACACGUGGGUGACCUGCCCUGCACUUUGGGAUAAGCUUGGGAAACUGGGUCUAAUACCGGAUAGGACGAUGGUUUGGAUGCCAUUGUGGAAAGUUUUUUCGGUGUGGGGUGAGCACGCGGCCUAUCAGCUUGUUGGUGGGGUAAUGGCCUACGAAGGCGUCGACGGGUAGCCGGCCUGAGAGGGUGUACGGCCACAUUGGGACUGAGAGACGGCCCAGACUCCUACGGGAGGCAGCAGUGGGGAAUAUUGCACAAUGGGCGCAAGCCUGAUGCAGCGACGCCGCGUGGGGGAUGACGGCCUUCGGGUUGUAAACUGCUUUCGCUAGGGACGAAGCGCAAGUGACGGUACCUGGAGAAGAAGCACCGGCUAACUACGUG